rnacentral:rRNA from 1 species
UCUUGCAACUAAAGAUGGCGACCGGCGCACGGUGAGUAACACGUAUCCAACCUGCCGAUAACUCGGGGAUAGCCUUUCGAAAGAAAGAUUAAUAUCCGAUAGUAUAUUAAAACCGCAUGGUUUUACUAUUAAAGAAUUUCGGUUAUCGAUGGGGAUGCGUCCAUAGUUGUUGGCGGGGUAACGGCCCACCAAGACUACGAUGGAUAGGGGUUCUGAGAGGAAGGUCCCCCACAUUGGAACUGAGACACGGUCCAA